rfam:Drosophila pseudoobscura pseudoobscura strain MV2-25 chromosome 4 unlocalized genomic scaffold Ch4_group5, whole genome shotgun sequence.
GGAGGUCUAUCAGAGCAAACUUCCUCGGGUCGUUGGGGUUCCUUCGAAAAGACAACGGCACGAGGAUGUUGCUUAUGAUGCAUUUCC